rnacentral:lncRNA from 10 species
UGAGGUCAGAGAGGUUAAUCCUAAGAACAGUUACAUAAGCUUGGAAGGAGACCUUUCCCCAGAUGGGCCAUAGCCUGGGCCAUCACCUACAUCUGGACUGAAGAACCAGAGAAACUACUCCAUCAGGAAUCGUUUGGGACCGUGGGUUCUGUUGACACUCACAUUGUGUAAUUAUGUUGCCCACUGCCAACCCUAAAGCCACCAAGGUAGCAGGUUUCAAAUAAUUCAUCAGUGAAUUCUCCUCAACCUGGUCAAUCAUGUGAACUUAGAAGAUGAUUCCUCCCCAGCUGAUCCUCAGGUGAGACCUCAGCCUUGGCCAUCAUCUAUAUCUGGAUUCCUGACCCAGAGAAACUGUGAGUAAUUUGUAUGUGCUUUUGAGCCACUAAGCUACAUGGUAAUUGGCUAUGCUGC